ensembl:lncRNA
CCUCUCUAUCUCCCCACACAUCCACCAACCACUGGAACACAUCUCCAAAGUUCUGCCGGGCCAGCUCAGCUUCCCCUCAGAAGAAGUGCUGCCACCUGCCAGAUGAAGGAGCCUUUUGAGAGGCAGCUGGCAUCGUGAUUGGACUGCACUUUGGUCUGUUCCAAUCCACCUUCAGCUCCAGAGACGGCAGGCGGGACGAGUCAACGGAGGCCGGGUGGACGAAGGCAUGCAGCUGAGUACAAUCCAGAAAACAACAGAGGAGGAGUGCAGCGGCCCAGUAUAGCCUUCGUCGCUGUAAAAAGUCAGUCCAUCCUGGCCGACUUCAACACCUCUUCAUGACAACUUGUCCUGCCUCGGACCUCGUGGAAACUCCAGAAACUCGGGAUAACCUGUCGAGACUCGAAGAACUCGUGGAGACUCGAAGAACUCGU